rnacentral:tRNA from 1 species
GGAGAGGUAUCGAAGCGGUCAUAACGAGGCGGUCUUGAAAACCGUUUGGCCAAAAGCCACAUGGGUUCGAAUCCCAUCCUCUCCG